GAUGAACGCUGGCGGCGUGCCUAAUACAUGCAAGUCGAGCGAACAGACGAGGAGCUUUCUCCUCUGACGUUAGCGGCGGACGGGUGAGUAACACGUGGAUAACCUACCUAUAAGACUGGGAUAACUUCGGGAAACCGGAGCUAAUACCGGAUAAUAUAUUGAACCGCAUGGUUCAAUAGUGAAAGACGGUUUUGCUGUCACUUAUAGAUGGAUCCGCGCCGCAUUAGCUAGUUGGUAAGGUAACGGCUUACCAAGGCAACGAUGCGUAGCCGACCUGAGAGGGUGAUCGGCCACACUGGAACUGAGACACGGUCCAGACUCCUACGGGAGGCAGCAGUAGGGAAUCUUGCGCAAUGGGCGAAAGCCUGACGGAGCAACGCCGCGUGAGUGAUGAAGGUCUUCGGAUCGUAAAACUCUGUUAUUAGGGAAGAACAAAUGUGUAAGUAACUAUGCACGUCUUGACGGUACCUAAUCAGAAAGCCACGGCUAACUACGUG
rnacentral:rRNA from 1 species